rnacentral:rRNA from 1 species
UGGGGAAUAUUGGACAAUGGGCGAAAGCCUGAUCCAGCCAUGCCGCGUGUGUGAAGAAGGCCUUUUGGUUGUAAAGCACUUUAAGCGAGGAGGAGGCUACUAGUACUAAUACUACUGGAUAGUGGACGUUACUCGCAGAAUAAGCACCGGCUAACUCUGUGCCAGCAGCCGCGGUAAUACAGAGGGUGCGAGCGUUAAUCGGAUUUACUGGGCGUAAAGCGUGCGUAGGCGGCUGAUUAAGUCGGAUGUGAAAUCCCUGAGCUUAACUUAGGAAUUGCAUUCGAUACUGGUCAGCUAGAGUAUGGGAGAGGAUGGUAGAAUUCCAGGUGUAGCGGUGAAAUGCGUAGAGAUCUGGAGGAAUACCGAUGGCGAAGGCAGCCAUCUGGCCUAACACUGACGCUGAGGUACGAAAGCAUGGGGAGCAAACAGG